rnacentral:tRNA from 1 species
AAAAAUUUAGUUAAAAAAUAACAUUAGUUUGUCAAACUAAAAUUAUCAUAAUGAUAGUUUUUU